rnacentral:lncRNA from 1 species
CCCGAAUAAACAAAAGUAAAGAGGACUGUGAACUUAGGGUUUGGAAAAUGCAGAUCCAACGGUAGUCCUCGAUGACAUCAGUUAUCUACAAUCUAUACUGAACCUGAAAUGGGUGGAAAGGAGGGUGGUGAGAUUAUAAAAUCCCAAUGAGUAAAUAGACAUAAUCAUAAACAUCUAGAGUUGAGUAUAUGGAGACAAUAAAGUAAAUCAUCGUAAACUGGGUCACAGCAUUAUAAUACAUUUCAUUUAAAAUAUGUGAAGGGGCUUAUGAAUUUCAUAAAAACUAGGCUUGUGCCAUAAAUCCAUUCUCAAGGACACCUUGGCCGAGGCAUCCUACCGAGACCACCAAGGCUAUUAAAAUUCACAUUUCACAUAAAUCAUGUUUUUGUUUUGAAAACAUAGCCAUUCCUUGGCGUUGGCUGAGUUCCCCCUCACGUGGUGGUUUGGCGUGAAGUGAACCCUAAGCUUUACCCUAGGAGAUACCCUACGCGCCUCUCCGUUCGAGGUAAGAAUAUAAUGGGGUUUACCGUGCUCCUCUAAAAAGUUGGUCCACAGAACCUCCUACUGUAGUGAUUAAUUAAUAUAUAAUCCACCAUACAAUAAAACUCAAUAACAUGAUAUGGCAAUUUUGUAAUUCGCAGUCUUUCAAGGCAACCAAACAAUUCGUAUUUCAAUACAAUUGCCAACUAGCUAAUCAUGCCCAAUUUAUCAUAAGCCAAUCAAUUUAAACAAUCAAAUUGCCAUGAUUAAUAGUCUCCGUGUAUUCUAUUUUUUCAAAAUCACUAUUAAUUUCAAAACAAUUUAUAAAUUAAUUUCAUUGGAACACCUUUAUUCAUAAAACAUUAAAAUUUACCUUUUCAAAUCCAAUUUUUCAUAGAAUUAAUGAAAUCAUCUAAAAAUCACCCUAGAUAAUUAAAAUGACAGUAAGUUUACUCACAAUGUCUAGAGUGCCGAUUCUCGAAAUACUCAGAUUACUGGUCCUCGGAUGCAAUUCCCUCACCUUUAUCGGAGGACUCGCCACCUUGACACAGUACAAAAUUGAGAAACUCACUACAUUGGUACUAAAUUGAAAUUAAACUAAUUUAGACUACUAAUGCAUGAUAUAGAAUGUAAAAAUGUCUAAAUUUUGCCUAAACGCGGUGUUAGCCUAUUUCGGUCUUUUACCCGAUAAAUCGAUAUACGCGUUCGUUUAAACUCCAAAUUAAUUUUUUUCAGUUUCUAUACCUCAAUUGCACCGAAAUUGACUUAAUGUCCCUCAGUGUGGUGCAAAUUAUCAAUCUCGACAACAAAUUACGAAAAUACCCCUAGUGGGUAAAAAUUCAUAUUUUUGCUCUAAAAAUUUUCAUUAUUUUUCUAGGCUCAUAAUUCAUCAUAAUUCCUCAAAUAAACAUCAAGAUCAGCAGCCAAUAUUUCCCUACAAAAUUUGGCCAAUAAUGGUAAUGGAGGAAAAUGAAUUAUUUUCUUGUUGUUUUGUUUCUAAAUAUGCCAAACUAACUAAAAACACUAACAUAACUUAAAAUCAAAUUAAUCUAACUUCAUUCUCUCUCCAUACCCAUUUUUAUCAGCCAACAAUUCAUCAUAAAAACAUGUAAUUUAAGCAUGGAAAAAAGGAGAAAUGCUUAAGGAAAAUAGAUUUCAAGCUUAAGUUGAAAAAUCCUACCUUUUUCACUUGUUUUCCUUGAUUUUCCACACUUUUUCUCUUGAAAUUCCUCACCUAGGGUUGGUUCUUCCUUUCUUUCCCU